CGGCCGGUCCCCAACCCCAGGCGCCCGGCGCGGAGAACCAGUUUGGCCGAAAGAGCUUUGAAUCACGGACCGAGGGGACGUGUCCAGCCGCCGAACGGAAAAGGGCGAGUGGUCCAACCUGGUUCUAUUGGCGGGAGGGUGCACAGAAAGGUCUCGCUGAGAAGAAUGACAUUCGAGCAAAGACUUGGAAGAACUGAGAGAACCAACCAUGUGGCUAUUGGGAGAAUGUGUUCCAGGCAGAGGAAAUAAGUGCAAAGGCCCUGAGGCAGAAACAUCCUUGGAACAUCUGAGAAACAAGGAGGCCAGUGUAGCUGAAGCAGAGUGAAUGAGGAAUAGGAGAUGAAGGGGGCCACAUCAUUCAAGGAAUUGAUGUUCAAUAAGGAACUUUGCUGUUAUUCUACAUGAGCUGGAGAACUAGUGAAGGGGUGAUCUUCACGGUUUAACAUUUUUUAGAGGAUCAUUCUGGCUGCUGUUUGGAACAGGGUUGAAGCAGAGUCCAGGCCUUCAUGACACCACAUUCUCCUGGUUUACCUCCCACUUCACUGGCUAUUCCUUCCUAAUCUCUUGGAUAACUGCUUCAUCUCUGCUUAACCUUAAAAUGUUGGAGACUCCAAACUUCACCCUCAACCUGGUUCUGUACUCUACCUACACACUGUCCCUAGGUGAUCUCCCCCAUUGUGUUAAAUUCCAUCUACAUGCUGCUGGCUCCCAGAUUUGUCUGAGUCUGACCUCUCCGUUGGGCUUCCGAUGUGUAUAUCCAGUUGUCUACUCCUCCACAUGGAUGUUUAAUAAGUAUCUCAA